AUUGAACGCUGGCGGCAGGCCUAACACAUGCAAGUCGAGCGGAUGACGGGAGCUUGCUCCUUGAUUCAGCGGCGGACGGGUGAGUAAUGCCUAGGAAUCUGCCUGGUAGUGGGGGACAACGUUUCGAAAGGAACGCUAAUACCGCAUACGUCCUACGGGAGAACGCAGGGGACCUUCGGGCCUUGCGCUAUCAGAUGAGCCUAGGUCGGAUUAGCUAGUAGGUGAGAUAAUGGCUCACCUAGGCGACGAUCCGUAACUGGUCUGAGAGGAUGAUCAGUCACACUGGAACUGAGACACGGUCCAGACUCCUACGGGAGGCAGCAGUGGGGAAUAUUGGACAAUGGGCGAAAGCCCGAUCCAGCCAUGCCGCGUGUGUGAAGAAGGUCUUCGGAUUGUAAAGCACUUUAAGUUGGGAGGAAGGGCAGUAAGCUAAUACCUUGCUGUUUUGACGUUACCGACAGAAUAAGCACCGGCUAACUCUGUGCCAGCCGCCGCCGUAACAC
rnacentral:rRNA from 1 species